rnacentral:rRNA from 1 species
AUGCGCCCAGCUGAUGAAGCAAAGACAACGUUCAAAACACAUCAUGGUCAUUUUCAGUUUCGGGUAAUGCCUUUCGGCCUCACCAACGCACCGGCUACCUUUCAGUGUGUCAUGAACUCAAUAUUUGCUCCAUUCCUACGCAAGUUUGUGAUAGUGUUUUUGGACGACAUACUGGUCUACAGUGCUUCAUGGACCCUGCAUUUGCAACACCUGCGCCUUGUGCUGGAAACACUGCGGAACUCACAAUUCUUUGCCAAAUUGACCAAAUGUUCCGUCGGCCAACAAAGCAUUCAGUACCUCGGCCAUAUUAUCUCUUCUGAGGGUGUGGCUACUGAUCCUGAGAAGACAACAACAAUGGAACAAUGGCCAUUACCAACAACAGCGACUGAACUGCGUGGUUUCCUCGGCCUGACAGGAUACUAUCGAAAAUUCGUGCAGAAUUAUGGCUUAAUUUCCAAGCCGCUGACCCAGUUACUCACCAAAAAGGGUUUUGAGUGGAAUGAUCAAGCGACUGAGGCCUUUAUGACAUUGAAAUCUGUGAUGGCUCGUACCCCUGUUCUCGCCCUUCCGGAUUUCUCUGUGCCUUUCGCCGUCGAGACAGAUGCCUGUGACACAGGUGUGGGGGCAGUACUGAUGCAACGGGGUCACCCUAUUGCAUACAUGAGCAAAGCCUUGGGUGUUAUGAAUCGCAAGUUAUCAAUCUACGAGAAAGAAUUCCUCGCAGUGAUCAUGGCGAUCGACAAAUGGCGUCAGUACCUACAGCGAGGUCCAUUCACCAUCUUGACAGACCAUAAGAGCCUUUGCAAUCUCACUGAUCAGCAAGUCACGUCCGAUUUGCAGCGCAAAGCUAUGGCAAAAUUAAUUGGUUUGCAAUUUCAGUUCAAAUACAAGCGUGGCGUGGAUAAUGGGGCUGCAGAUUCUCUGUCCCGUGUCGCUCAUCGGUUUGAAACCCAAACCCUUUCAGUUUGCCGGCCAGACUAG